UCCGGUGUGGUGUAUCGGUAACAUACGCGCCUCUCAUAUAGGCGACUUCGAUGAUUUACGCGCGUGCGCGGGGUUCGAUUCCCCGCACCGGAA